rnacentral:rRNA from 1 species
UACGAAGGGUGCAAGCGUUACUCGGAAUUACUGGGCGUAAAGCGUGCGUAGGCGGUCUGUUAAGUCCGUUGUGAAAGCCCUGGGCUCAACCUGGGAAUUGCAGUCGAAACUACUCGGCUAGAGUAUGGGAGAGGACAGUGGAAUUCCCGGUGUAGCGGUGAAAUGCGUAGAUAUCGGGAGGAACAUCAGUGGCGAAGGCGGCUGUCUGGCCCAAUACUGACACUCAGGUGCGACAGCGUGGGGAGCAAACA